UGAAGGUGGGGUUGACAGAUGAAUUACCUGGCCCAGAUCAAAGCGUUUCACUGCAAAGGGGACCUUGUCACAUCCAUCCCUUCAAUCGCUCGCUUCCUGAAAGUGAACCAGAAGGCAUCCUGCUGCCCUCACCUUCUGAACUGAACCUUCUCUGUAACUCCUUUGUCCCGGGCUCCAGUCCUCCGUGAUUCCCAGUACUCGGCCUGCACCUGAGGUUCUUCUGUGAACUCACGUGAUGUCAUGCUCUGGGCUCAUGGGGACCCUGCGGUCCAGGUCUCUUAUCUGAGAAACCACCUGGCUGAAGAUGAAGACGCUGUGCACUCCACAUGCCCAACGUCUGGUCUCUGGGGAGUUCUCUCGUGGGCACCCACUGGAGAGUACACUAAACCCUCUUGGUCUGCCCCACAGUCCAGAACGCCCACUCCUCCGUCCUUUGUGUGUGUGUGUGUGGGGGGGGGGGUGACGUGAGCAGAAAGAUCUAGUUCUGCUCUUUACACAUCGGUCAUCCAUUUAACACACUGUCGAGACUUUUCCAGGGCCUCUAACAAAGCCAGAAGGAAAAAAUGGAAUUGACUCUUUCCCAAACUUCUAAGGCACCUUGUGGGGACUUCUUGAAGCCAUUGUGGGGGCUGUGGAAGAUGGAUUGGCAUUACUCUGCCAGGGUCAAGAUGACAAGAGCCGAGGUUCCGCAUAGGAGUUCUAACGGACGCAGGAAGCUGGUUGGUGGCCCAAAGAAAAUUCCAACUACAGUCCAGUGCUCUACUGAAGAGCUGAAUUCCCCUGACCUCCUGACCUCUCAUCUGCUACAGACUCCUCUGAAUUAUCUACUUCUCUUAGGGACCCAUUGGGGUCUCCUCUGAUGUCUCCAGACCUUCCCUUUUAUUGCCAUUUACUUACUGUUCAUUUGCCAUUUUAGAAGAAACUUAUUUCCCACCACACUCCCAAAUGAAUAUGAAGUGGGCUUGUUCCAUUUCUUGAGAGCAGUAACCUUUUCUUUCUUUUUCUUUAAUGGCUGGGCUAUACAGAUGUCCCAUCUCCACUGAAUGUCUCCUCUAUAACUCCAACAUUGAAUGUUCAAAAAACUCAAGUUCACCAACACCAAUAGUCUACUUUAUUAAUGGUGUAUUACUUUGCAGUAAUUUACAUAAUGGUAGCAUGAAAUGUAGAUUUACAUCAGAGGUAAAGUAAGAGAGAUAUCAGAGUAAGCACAUUUUAACGUUAGGUAAAGAAUGCUAUCAAUGUUAUUUUGCAGCUAGCAUUCAGAGACCAGCAUCUGAUGACACAGAACACACGCAGACAUGUACUCAGAGUACAUGUCUGUUCUGGUACCUUGCAGAGGGUCGUCUUGGCUCCCUAUCUUGGUAACCAACUGCUCUUGCUCAAGUUGAAUGAAGACCCUAAUUUAACCAUUAAACAAAGUGGAACUGUUUACUAGAUACUUCCCCUGUCAGAUUUAAAUAACCGGAAUGAAAUGUUCUUUAUUAACAAAGCUAAAUUGUGUGAGGUCUUCGUUUUAAUUGGCUUAUAAUAUACAUAUUUAUGGGGUAAAAUGUAGUAACUUGAUAAAAGCUUACAUUUUGUGAUAAUCAAAUCAGGGCAAUUAGCAUUUCCAUUUCAUAAAAAUUAUGGCUUCUUUUUGUGUGGUCUUUGACUACUCAAACACUUUUUAAACAGGGAAACAAAUCGAAAGAAGUCACUUUUUUAAUUUGACAAGCAAACACAUUUUCCUUAAAUCUAUGGGUCAAUAUAGAUUGCUGUCUUUUCUGUUUUAAUUUUCUUCUCUGUCUGUACUGAAGAG